rnacentral:rRNA from 1 species
UGGUGGAGUGAUUUGUCUGGUUGAUUCCGUUAACGAACGAGACCUUUUCUUCCAAAUUGCUGUAGGGUAUUCCUAUACUUUGCAGUAAAUCGGAGAACAACAUGUGGAAAGCAUGGGGAAGAGAAAGGCGAAAACA